rnacentral:rRNA from 1 species
GAUGAACGCUGGCGGCGUGCCUAAUACAUGCAAGUCGAGCGAACAGACGAGGAGCUUGCUCCUCUGACGUUAGCGGCGGACGGGUGAGUCACACGUGGAUAACCUACCUAUAAGACUGGGAUAACUUCGGGAAACCGGAGCUCAUACCGGAUAAUAUAUUGAACCGCAUGGUUCAAUAGUGAAAGACGGUUUUGCUGUCACUUAUAGAUCGAUCCGCGCCGCAUUAGCUAGUUGGUAAGGUAACGGCUUACCAAGGCAACGAUGCGUAGCCGACCUGAGAGGGUGAUCGGCCACACUGGAACUGAGGCACGGUCCAGACUCCUACGGGAGGCAGCAGUAGGGAAUCUUCCGCAAUGGGCGAAAGCCUGACGGAGCAACGCCGCGUGAGUGAUGAAGGUCUUCGGAUCGUAAAACUCUGUUAUUAGGGAAGAACAAAUGUGUAAGUAACUAUGCACGUCUUGACGGUACCUAAUCAGAAAGCCACGGCUAACUACGUG